GGCGGGUGGGAGGAUUUAAUUUUUAAAAUUUUAUUUCAUAUGAAACCCUUGUCACAAGUUCUUCAUACCGUUGGGUAUAUGCUAGUGGAAAACAAGCUCGUAUAAUGUAUAUACAUGUUGUAUAAGGAAUCUGACACUAUUUUUUUAAACUCUUUAUGAAAAAAACUCCCUGAUUGGCAACCACUGUUAUACAUGUAAUUGCAUGCCGCUUUAGAAACCUAUUUAUAGUAUACAUCAAAGGGAAGAGAAAUGCUCUCUUCAGUUGGACUAGACCUACACCAAAUUUAUUUUGCUUUCUAAGCAAUGGUUUGUAGUCCACAUAAAAUCAAUAAAAUGUAUUGUAUGCAACACAAGUAUUAUGAGUACAAAAUAAAAUGUAAAAGUGUGGAAAGUAAUUAUGUGAUGUAAAACAUGAACUUAACCAAAAAGUAGUUUUUUAAUGACUAAAUUGAGGGUAUUGGGACAGUUACAGAAGGUGUUUGCUGUUUGUCAACAAAAACAACAGCCAUGGGUAUAUAAAAUAUAAGGGAAUCAAAAUGCGUGUUGUCGACUUUUUUUUCUCAAUAUACGGUCAUAAUUCAAACAAAUUCGUGCUUGUGUCAAUUUCUUUAAUCCAGUCAUGUUUUUUGUACCAAUUUGUUCUAUGAUUCUUAAGCUUUGGAUAUCAUUCACAGUCCAAAUUUCCUGACACAAAGUCAUC
rnacentral:lncRNA from 1 species